rnacentral:misc_RNA from 1 species
UUGAUUCAUUUUGAAUUUUUGCUCAGAGCUGUAAGAAAUAACGUCCGCGAGGGGACUACAGAAAGAGUUUGGUUGUUUUUUCCUCCGGCGGGCGCCUUGGUCCGGGGCUGCGACGCGCCCGGGGCAGAGAUCCCGCCGAGGCAACAGUUUGGUAACGUUCACAUUGGGUUUGGGAGUUGUAAACUCGGUAAUGAUCCCUCCGCUGGUUCACCAACGGAGA